GUCCCUGUAGAGCAAUGAAUAGCGCGUUGGACUUCCAAUUCAAAGGUCGUGGGUCGAAUCCUACCUGGGAUG